GGGAAGGGCUAUAGCUCAGUGGUAGAGCAUCUGCCUUGCACGCAGAAGGUCCCAGGUUCGAUUCCUGGCAUCCCCCA
rnacentral:tRNA from 1 species